GAUGAACGCUGGCGGCGUGCCUAAUACAUGCAAGUCGAGCGAACGGACGAGAAGCUUGCUUCUCUGAUGUUAGCGGCGGACGGGUGAGUAACACGUGGAUAACCUACCUAUAAGACUGGGAUAACUUCGGGAAACCGGAGCUAAUACCGGAUAAUAUUAUGAACCGCAUGGUUCAAAAGUGAAAGACGGUCUUGCUGUCACUUAUAGAUGGAUCCGCGCUGCAUUAGCUAGUUGGUAAGGUAACGGCUUACCAAGGCAACGAUGCAUAGCCGACCUGAGAGGGUGAUCGGCCACACUGGAACUGAGACACGGUCCAGACUCCUACGGGAGGCAGCAGUAGGGAAUCUUCCGCAAUGGGCGAAAGCCUGACGGAGCAACGCCGCGUGAGUGAUGAAGGUCUUCGGAUCGUAAAACUCUGUUAUUAGGGAAGAACAUAUGUGUAAGUAACUGUGCACAUCUUGACGGUACCUAAUCCGAAAGCCACGGCUAACUACGUG
rnacentral:rRNA from 1 species